AUAAAGUGGGAUCGGAUGAAGAAUGUGGGUGCGAUUUUGGGUACCAAAGAGAAAUGGAAACAAAGAGGCAAACAAAUCCAUAUGGGCAUCUAAUCAUAUUCCAAGCAUUCCCAAAUUUAUCUCUUCCCACUCACUUUUUUUUUUUUGGACUCCAAAUACAUUUUUUUUUAUUAAAAAUUUUAGUGGCUUCAAACAUAUGAAUUGACAUUUUGAUGGAGUAUUAUUUCCUUAAUUAAGAUGGUGUAUAUAAGCUCA
rnacentral:lncRNA from 1 species